AGAACAAUAAGAACAGCUUAAAUUUAGAAUGGUUACAUGCAAUACAGGAGAUCACAACGGCAUUGAGUAAAGAAAGCACAGAGUGAAAAGUUUAUUUCAGCAAAGAACAAUUGAAGUGCCACCCAACAGAAAGGAAAUACCUGUUUCUGCCAUUUCGUGCAAGGUCAUCAUCGAAUAAGGAGGUUCCUGAUCACUAAAAGGGGGGAAAAAAAGUAAAAACCUUGUUAAUUA